UACGAAGGUGGCAAGCGUUGUUCGGAUUUACUGGGCGUACAGGGAGCGUAGGCGGUUGGAUAAGCCCUCCGUGAAAUCUCCAGGCUUAACCUGGAAAGUGCAGAGGGGACUGUCCAGCUAGAGGAUGGGAGAGGAGCGCGGAAUUCCCGGUGUAGCGGUGAAAUGCGUAGAUAUCGAGAGGAACACCUGCGGCGAAGGCGGGUUGCUGGGCUGACACUGACGCUGAGGAGCGAAAGCGUGGGGAGCGAACAGG
rnacentral:rRNA from 1 species